AUUGAACGCUGGCGGCAUGCCUUACACAUGCAAGUCGAACGGUAACGGGUCCUUCGGGAUGCCGACGAGUGGCGAACGGGUGAGUAAUAUAUCGGAACGUGCCCAGUAGUGGGGGAUAACUGCUCGAAAGAGCAGCUAAUACCGCAUACGACCUGAGGGUGAAAGGGGGGGAUCGCAAGACCUCUCGCCAUUGGAGCGGCCGAUAUCAGAUUAGCUAGUUGGUGGGGUAAAGGCCUACCAAGGCAACGAUCUGUAGUUGGUCUGAGAGGACGACCAGCCACACUGGGACUGAGACACGGCCCAGACUCCUACGGGAGGCAGCAGUGGGGAAUUUUGGACAAUGGGCGCAAGCCUGAUCCAGCAAUGCCGCGUGCAGGAAGAAGGCCUUCGGGUUGUAAACUGCUUUUGUCAGGGAAGAAAUCUUCUGGGCUAAUACCCCGGGAGGAUGACGGUACCUGAAGAAUAAGCACCGGCUAACUACGUGCCAGCAGCCGCCGUAACAC
rnacentral:rRNA from 1 species